AUGCCCACUUCGGCAGCACAUAUACUAAAAUUGGAAUGAUAAGAUAGCAUGGCCCUUGUGCAAGGAUGACAUGCAAAUUCGUGAAGCAUUACAUUUUUUA
rnacentral:snRNA from 1 species